GCAAGCAUGUCACCAGGAGCAGAGCACAGAGGGACAACACAGCUUUUGCGCUUCCAGCUGGCUCCCAUCAAGAAGUUAGAAGGGAGCCUGCAAACACAUUUCCUGCUAUCAUCUCUCCACCCCAGAAUGACUUUCCCUGGUAGAGCUGGGGGAGGGGAGGCGGGCAGCAGGCCCCCCAGGAGGCCCUGGGCAGGAAUAUUAAUACUCCAACUUCCCAGCACAAGAGGAGGGAGGAGGAGCGGCCACGGCGCAGUCCGGUCCUGGGGGCCCUGGAAGGUGGUUGCUGAGCAGCCCGUGGGAGGCACGGAUCCGCCAGCUCACGGCGGCAGGGGCCGCCCAAGUCCUAAUGAAAACACCUAGCUCCUGGCAGGGCGCAGCCGACACAUCGCCCUGCCUUCUCGGCCACCUGGGAGAGGAUGGGCGCCGCACGCGGAUACCCAACCUGCCGGGUUGUGCUCGCAGUGACAUCGCUUUUCUCCCGGCAAGUGCAUCCAUCUCGCUGGGUCUGGAUAGAUAACACAAUCUCUCUGCCCACACCCCAUUUGCUGGGAGACAGCCUGGGCUUCUCCAUUUUUUAUGGGCUCACUUAGCUUGGAGGAAAUCCAGAGGUCAAAGCCGGCGCAGACGCUCCAGUCACCUUGCCCGUCCGGGCGCGCAGCCAUUCCGAAACGGGCUCACCCACGGGGCCCUAAAUUACGGCGAUUACACUGCAAUUCGCAGCGCGAUAUUACUUUGAUACACUACCUGCUGCAGCUUGGCCCGGGAGGCGUGCAUUAUUUACCAGGGAGGCUGUCCGUACUGCGCACCAGAGCUGACAGCGCUCCGCGGGGUCCCUCCUGUCCCUACAGCCCCGCCUUCGCCCGCGGUGCGGGGUCUGGAGGCAGUGGGGCGGGGGCAGGGGGUCACUGGAGCAGCCCCGCUCUCUCGGAGUGACCGUUUCCUGAACGCAAUAUAGCCCGGAGAGGACCCAGUGGCGGAAGCGGCAGCUGGCGAUGAGGUUGGGGGUUAGUAGGUGGGAACAAGUGCUGAGCCCGCAGCUCCUCCUGGCUCUUAAGGACACCCAGACCCUCCUUAGCCGGCCUAUAAGGGCCCUUGUUGCGCGCGCGCAGGGACCCACACAGGGCCUGCCCAGGGGUGCAAGGCUGGUCCCUGGCCCCUGGCCAACUGUUAAAACGGCUAGCAGCCGGCUAACCCCACCGGCAGGCUCCAGGAUUUAGCCUGUGGCGGCUGGUGGCGGAGAUGGAGGGAACUCAGGCUACCCUCUUCCUCGGGCCCUGGAAGCUGCGUGCGCCUCAGCUGAGGCCUGAUUUCGCCGUGGCUGGGGGCUGGGGCCGGAGUUGGGCCCGGCUUCUCUCCGGCUCCCCCAUUACGGUUUGGCAUCAGCAUCUAGAUUGCAGGUUACUUCUGCUUUUAUCCAAAGCGGUCCUUAAGGGAGAUGGAGUUCUGAUUGAAAUCCAGUCAAUUGGCGCCGUGGCUCAGAGGGCCCAGCGUGAGCACACUUGUAGGGAAAUUGCCCUGGGUCUGAGAGGAGGGGCAGGGGUGGGGGAGGGAACAGGACCCGCAGGCCUGCUCUGGAGCCUGUGAACGCGCUGCUGCGAGGACUUUAGCGGAUGCGCUCAGGUCGGUAUCCGCGGGAGUCCUGGAGGGAAAUCCGCUCUCCUUCUCCAGCUCCCUGGGAUUGAUGGAACCAGAAACCUCAAGCAAGGGAUCCCCAGAGGUCACUGCGUCCAGUCUCCAGCCUCAGACAGUGUCUGGGUAGUGGAGGAGGGGCCGAGUCUGUGGGACCGAGCUGUCUGCUUUGGUGGGUGAAGGAGGGUGGACUUCUGGGGUCUGGGUUGAGAUGUGGAUUAGUUCCAGGACUAGUUCCUGUUACUCGUAGGCGGGGAGAGGUCAUGGUCCCUGCUGAACACAUCUGGCUGUGUUCAGUCCUGAACUGCCCUGGGCUCCUCAGCAGUGUGCACAGGGGUCUGGCCUCCAAAUUUCUUGUUAACAGCCCAUCAGGAGCUGGAGGAGCUGGCCUGGCCUUCAAGGUGUGGAGGGGUUCCUGGAAGGAAGCAGAUGGGCACACGGAGGAGAAGAAUGACAAAUCCAUGCUUCCCCAAUGCUGGGGAGAGAAUAUGGUGGUGGGGAGGAAGCAUGGAGACCAGAAGCAUUCCCGGGAAUGCUUCUGGAAGUAUCCCAGAAAUGUCAAGAGCUCAUUCUGCCAGCUCUUCCGGGGCCAGCAAAGAACAUACAUAUCAUUUCUCCAUCCACUUUGGGACCUGCCUGAGAUGAACAUAUGUUUUAAAAGGAAUCCCAAUUGCUGCAGGAGCAGAUGGUGCUACAGGGGCAGGCAAGGGCAGGAGAAAGGAUACUGGCUGGCAGUAGGGUAGGAGUCCUGGGCUCUGCCUCGCCCCUUCCUCUUACCAGCCGUGUGAGCUGUGUGGCUGCGGGCAAGUCACUCCCCGGCUCUGUGCUGCCCCAUUUUCCUUGUGAAGAAUGAGUGGGUCCCCUGUAGCAUGCAGGAUGAGCUGAGGCCUCACUCCCCUGCGGUGGAGAGGACAGAACACUCUCUCCAUCAGCAGGGAAGACAGAUUUUCCUAUUUAUUAGCCUGUUCAGCUGGCAGACACAGGGACUGUCCUCUAGGCCAUGGGGUGGGGAAGAGGGGGACAGAGCCCCACACCAGCCCCCGCUGUGUCCAUCCUCUGCCUGUGGCUGUUUGCCUGAUUGAUUUGUUUGGUGGCCUCCCUGGCUGGGAUUGGGUCCCUGUGUCCUCCUGCACAUUUGCCUCUGGUCCCUCUCUGUGUGGUCAGGAGGGGGAGCUCUAGGUGUAGGGGCGGAAGAGACUGGAACAUCUAUCCAUCACGGACUGACUCUUGGGCUUGGUAAGGAUCCUAACAACCACCGGGUCCACCUGCCACCUUGUGCUCCGGGCCCCUCCCCAGAAGCUCCCCCUGCAGUGGGAGGCUCACUGCCUCUCGCUGAGCCACUCCCAGAAAGUUCACCCUUUUCUGGAUCCCAAGUCGAGUCCCUUGUGUCAUCUCUCAUUCAUCCUAGCUCUUCUUGUUGGCCUAGGUGUGAACUCCAUGCCUACAGGACCACCCUUCAGAUAUUUCAGGGCAGCGAUCUUGUUCAUCCCCUACUCCACCUUCUUGGGGCAAAACCUGCCUAGUAUCCUCCCUGCUGCUUCCCAGUCCCCUCACACUCUAGCUCUGACAAGAAGUGAUUGAGCUUCCAGUCAGAUGUCAGAGGCCCUGGUCUCCAGGGAGCUUCUAGUCUGGGAGAUAGUCUUCCUAGGACCUAAAGAAUGAAUAACAAAAUCACACAGGCAUUUGGGACUGUUGGAUUUCCAACUGGUAUGGCUGCUGGUCUGGAAACCUCCUCAGAGGUGAGUGGGUUUAGUCGUCUUCCAUGUAGAGAAGUCUUCCUGUUCUCUCUGAAACAGCUAUGCUCCCCCUCCUCAGAGACUGUGGGACUACUGGGUGCUCCGAUGGCGCUGGUGCCUGCUCCGGAGAGAAGUGGGAGAGAAUACUUUCCAGUUCUUCCCACCUCCAUCCCCAUCCAUCCUGGUGUGGGUACCACAGAAACCUGAGGUCCAGGGGGAAGCUUUCCACAGUGGGACCACCUCAGUGUCUUCGGUCCCCAGGGCACCUACUUUUUCUCCUGACUUCCAGAAGAUGUUCCCAGAGGGGCUGGUCUACGCUGCAAGAGUGGGCCCGCCACAUCUAGGCCUCCACCCCGCCCCCAGCUCUUAAUUUAUUAUUAACUCUGGAACUGACUUUGAAAUUAUGGAAGGCCAUGUUGUUUCUUUCCUCUGCAUCUCUUAUGGUCCCCAAGGGGAGGCGAGCUGAGAGUGCCAGAUACACAAAUAUGCAGCGAAAACCCUGUGGAUUUUUGGUUCUAGCAAGGGGAAGGAAAUUAGCUGUAAUAAGCUGCUGUCGCCUCACUGGAAAGCCUCCAGCACAGACCCUCGGAGGGGCUCCUGGGCCCCCUUCCUCUGCUCUCCCCACUUCCCGGCUGCAUGGCUGAAGAUCUCUGUCUUCAGCUUCCCCUGCAGGGGAGUGGCCUCCUCCCCACCCAGUCCUGUGACAUCACUGAUGGAGAUGAUCAAUAUCCCGGGCCUGUGAGGAGGAGGAGGAGGAGGAGACUGCAGGCACACAGAGAAGUGGUCUCUGGCCUCUUCCCAAGCCAUUAGCUUGAAUGGUGGUAGGAGAGGCAGGUGGGAGUCAAUUUCCAUUCUCCUAGAAUUACUGGAAGGCAGAGGGUUAUUUGGAAGUUUCUGAAAGGUGUGAGGUAUUCAUUGGCCCUCACACAAAAGGAUCAGUAGGCUCUGGUCUUUCCUUUUUCCUCUCCUGAGGAGAGCCAAGGGCUAAAACCCUUAAGUGACUACCCCACAGCAACAGCUGCACUUAGGCAGAAAAUAGCCUGGGCUGUGACUGGAGCCCUGGAAGGAACUAGUUCUAGCCCUUUGCUGGCUAACUUGGCCCAUCCUGAUCUGGCAUUGGGCUUCUCUCUGGCUUCUAAUGCAAAGAACAUAACUCAAUCAAAUGGCAGAUAUGAUGUUAAGCAUUCAUUGAAUUGAGUGGUUAAGUUCCCCCAUAACUUGCUGUGUGACCUCUGGUGAGUCACCUAACCUCUCUGGGCUUCACAUACUUUAUAUGUAAAAGGAGAGCAGGAGUGAGAUGAGUGCACCAUUUCUAAGACCCAGGAGUAAUCAUGCUGGGACACAUGUUUUAUAACCGUGGCCCAAACGCUCUUUCCUUCAUGUCCACCAGCCAAAAUGUUGGGCCUCACUUGCCGGUAAUGCUAUUACAUGGAAGGUUUUACGGCCAACAGGACAGUCAUGAGCUUUCACUACUAAUAAUUAUCUUUGUGAUUUAAAAUUUUAGCAAUAAGAUGGAUUCUUACCAAUAUUACUAUGUAUUAGUCUGUUUUCACAUUGCUGUAAAGAACUACCUGACACUAGGCAGUUAAUAAAGAGAAGAGGUUUCAUUGACUCACAGUUCAGCGGGCUGUAUAGGAAACAUGGCUGGGAGGCCUCAGGAAGGUGCAUGGGAAGCAAGCACCUCUUUACAUGGUGGCAGGAGAGAAAGGGCAAAGGGGAAGUGCCACACACUUUUAACCAACCAGAUCUCAUGAGCCAGCACUAGGGGGAUGGUACUAAACCACUAGAAACCACCCUCAUGAUCCAAUCACCUCCCACCAGGCCCCACCUCCAACACUCGGGAUCACGUUUCAACAUGAGAUUUGGGUGGGGACACAGAGCCAAACCAUACCAUACCGUAUAUUUUUACUUUUUAAAAAACUUCCUAAGAUUUUUCCCUUGGAGAGACAACAGGCUGUAAGAGUGAAGAGUGUGAGCCCAGGAGUCUGUCUGCCUGGAUUUGAAUCCUGGCUCUGCCACCUACCAGCUUUGUUAUCUUGAGGGUGUCCCUUCACUUCUCUGUGCCUCCGUGUCCUCAUCUAUAAAGUGAGAAAAAUGGCUGGGCGUGGCGGUUCAGGCCUGUAAUCCCAGCGCUUUGAGAGGCUGAGACGGGUGGAUCACCUGAAGUCAGUUCGAGACCAGCUUGGCCAACAUAGUGAAACCCCGUCUCUCCUAAAAAUACUGUAGUCCCAGCUACGGGAAGCUGAGGCAGGAGAAUUGCUUAAGCCCAGGAGGUGGAGGUUGCAAGGAGCCGAGAUUGCGCCACUGCACACCAGCCUGGCUGACAGAGAUUCCAUCUCAACAACAACAACGACAACAAAAAGCAGCGGGGAAAAUAAUACAACACAAAGCUGCUGUGGUCUGAAGGGCUUAAAACAGUACCUGGUGCAUAGUUAGUGCAAGCUUACUGAGUGUUGAGUGUUAUUACUGUCAAUGAUAAUAAUA
rnacentral:lncRNA from 1 species